UACGGGAGGCAGCAUGGGGGAAUAUUGCACAAUGGGCCGCAAGCCUGAUGGCAGCCAUGCCGGCGUCGUGGUGAAGAAGGCCUUCGGGUUGUAAAGCACUUUCAGUCGUGAGGAAGGUAGUGUAGUUAAUAGCUGCAUUACUUUGACGUUAGCGACAGAAGAAGCACGGCUAACUCCGUGCCAGCAGCCGCGGUAAUACGGAGGGUGCGAGCGUUAAUCGGAAUUACUGGGCGUAAAAGCGCAUGCAGGUGGUUUGUUAAGUCAGAUGUCGAAAAGCCCGGGGCUCAACCUCGGAAUUGCAUUUGAAACUGGCAGACUAGAGUACUGUAGAGGGGGUAGAAUUUCAGGUGUAGCGGUGAAAAUGCGUAGAGAUCUGAAGGAAUACCGGUGGCGAAGGCGGCCCCCUGGACAGAUACUGACACUCAGAUGCGAAAGCGUGGGGAGCAAACAGGAUUAGAUACCCUGGUAG
rnacentral:rRNA from 1 species